GCACACCUGUCCCCUAGUACCAUACGCAUGUGGGCGCUCCAGGUCUGCAGUUUGUACCUGGACAUCGUUGCCAAUCUAAGUGCCCAUCCGAGCCUCCUGCGGAUCAGGCUUGCAGAUGCUCCCUCGCUCUUCCCUGACGCAGCCCCAGCUGAAGCAGGGGCCUUGGCAAUAAGGGUGGGAGGAUGUCCAGGCUACAGGUGCCCCGGCGGGAAGGAGGUACCAGGCAGCCAACACAGCUUACUGCAAAGGCCCUGAGGUGGGAGCCCGCUUGGCCCAGGGUGUGGCCGGGGGAGAGGACAGGGGUGAGGUGGGGCUGGCCGCGUUGGCCAUGAAAAGGCUUCUAACAAGAGACCGUGGCCAGGUCCCCCAGGUGAGCUCUGGGCCGCUGCCUAGUGAAUUGAAUGACUCGUAUUGUUCCCAAGGCUGCAGCUGCGGCCUCGGAAGUGACUCAGCAGAAUUCCUGGGAGUUGGGGUGGGGGCGAGGCUUGCUCCAGAUGGGCUGGGGGAGGGGGCAUUGCCCGCGCUCAAGCCCCUCCUCCCAGCUCCUGCGGACCGCGGAGCUCGCCCACUCUCGCGUCCUCCCCUCCGCCCAGACAUCUGCAGGCACCAGCGGCGACGAGACGGGGAUGAUGCUGGAAGACUUAGGGUGGGACGGCCCCAUCCUCUCGGAACCCCGGUCCCUGAGACUGAUUUGAGGGUGGGGUGGGGGCUGACUCUGCCCUCAAAACGGGGCUCACGGCUUUUGGCUUGGAGCAAGCAGGGUUGGCCCUGUCCGGGCCCCGGAGUGACUCAGCUCAGUCCUGGCCCUCUCCGGGACUGACUCCCUUCCUCUAAACAAAGGGAAUCUUUCACCCAACAGACGGCAGUGGGUCCGCGGAGAUAAAACAGGCCCUCCAGAGUGAUCCCUCCCCUGGUGGCUGAUGGGACAUGAGUGUGUUGGGAGAGAGGGAGCGGGCAGCUCUCCACCCCAGGCUGGGGCAGACUGGAGUGAAGGUCCAAGCGCUGGACCCGAGCAGCGGCCUCAGCCCCAAUCUAAAAGCUCAGCCUCAGUUUUCCCACGCAUACAAUGGGCAUAACGGUCCCAAGAAUGAGGCUUGCUGGAGUUACUGGCAGGCUGAACGCUGUCCGCCUAAUUCACCUAAUUCAGGGCAAGAACCGCGCUCUGGCCCCUGCACCUGGGAGAGGUGGGGUGCUGGACCGAAGGCGAAGUAACAGCGUCCUUCAGGGUCCAUCCCCAAAUUGCCUUCCUUAGGGAAGCCGGAACAAACGAUGCGGCGGGGUGGCCCUGGGUCUGUUCCCUCCUAAGAGGUGGAGCAGGGACAGCAGCAUCCUAGACCCCGGCAGCCCGCGCGCGCGCCCUCGCACCAUCUCCCCUACCUGGUUGGUUGGGUUGUAGGGCUCCAAGCGACCGCCAGGUGGCGCCAUAGACGCGCCUGCUGCGCCAAGCUGGGUGGGGCUGGACUCGUCCGGUGAUGGGGCCCUUUGGGCAGCCAGGCACUGUUUUUUGAGUUUUGUUUUGUUUUGUUUUGUUUUUUCCAGACAGAGUUUCACUCUUGUUGCCUAGGCUGGAAGGUUGCAGUGAGCCAAGAUCUCGCCACGGCACUCUAGCCUGGGCAGCAGAGUGAGACUGUCUCAAAAAAAAAAAAAAAAAAAUUAGCUGAAAGCAGUGGCACGGGAGGCUGAGAUGGGAGGAUCGGUUGAGCCCAGGCAGUGGAGGCUGCAGUGAGCCAUAAUUGCGCCACUGCACUACUCCAGCAUGGGCGAGAGAGCAAGACCCUGUUUCAAAAAAAAAAAAAAAAAAAAA
rnacentral:lncRNA from 1 species